AUUGAACGCUGGCGGCAGGCCUAACACAUGCAAGUCGAGCGGAGCGGCGGACGGGUGAGUAAUGCCUAGGAAUCUGCCUGGUAGUGGGGGAUAACGUCCGGAACCGGGAGCUAAUACCGCAUAAUAUCAGAUGAGCCUAGGUCGGAUUAGCUAGUUGUUGGGGUAAAGGCCUACCAUGGCGACGAUCCGUAACUGGUAUGAGAGGAUGAUAGGUCACACUGGAACUGAGACACGGCCCAGACUCCUACGGGAGGCAGCAGUGGGGAAUAUUGGACAAUGGGCGAAAGCCUGAUCCAGCCAUGCCGCGUGUGUGAAGAAGGUCUUCGGAUUGUAAAGCACUUUAAGUUGGGAGGCGUUACCAACAGAAUAAGCACCGGCUAACUUCGUGUCAGCCGCCGCGGUAAUUC
rnacentral:rRNA from 1 species